GGACAAUGUGAUGAUGAGCUGAUUAAUGUUACUAAUAAAAAUUCUUUGUUCAAAUUGCAAGCAAGGUAUGUGGUUGAAAGGAUGGAUGCUGAUCUUUGGGAGAAAGUUCUUAAUCCUGAGAAUGAAUAUAGAAGACAGCUCAUUGAUCAGGUUGUAUCUACUGCUUUGCCUGAAAGCAAGAGUCCUGAACAAGUUUCUGCAGCAGUUAAGGCUUUCAUGACUGCUGAUCUACCCCAUGAAUUAAUUGAGCUUCUUGAAAAGAUUGUGCUUCAAAACUCUGCAUUCAGUGGAAAUUUCAAUCUGCAGAAUCUACUUAUCUUGACCGCCAUUAAGGCGGAUCCAUCUAGAGUUAUGGAUUACAUUAACAGAUUGGACAAUUUUGAUGGACCUGCUGUUGGGGAAGUGGCCGUGGAAGCCCAACUGUACGAGGAAGCAUUUGCAAUUUUCAAGAAGUUCAACUUAAAUGUUCAGGCUGUAAAUGUCCUAUUGGACAAUAUUCAAAGCAUUGAUCGUGCAGUGGAGUUUGCAUUCCGAGUUGAAGAAGAUGCAGUUUGGAGUCAGGUGGCAAAGGCUCAACUCAGGGAGGGGCUGGUGAGUGAUGCAAUUGAGUCCUUUAUUCGUGCAGAUGAUGUUACUCAAUUCCUGGAGGUCAUUCGUGCUGCUGAGGAUGCAAAUGUCUAUCAUGACUUGGUGAGGUACCUACUGAUGGUCAGGCAGAAGACAAAAGAACCCAAGGUGGACAGUGAACUUAUUUUUGCAUAUGCAAAGAUCGAUAGGCUAAGUGACAUUGAGGAAUUUAUUCUCAUGCCAAAUGUGGCUAAUCUCCAAAAUGUGGGUGAUCGUUUGUUUGAUGAAGCUCUAUAUGAGGCUGCAAAAAUUAUAUUUGCAUUUAUAUCAAACUGGGGCAAGUUGGCUAGCACACUUGUGAAGCUGAAACAGUUCCAAGGUGCUGUUGAUGCAGCACGAAAAGCCAAUAGUGCAAAGACAUGGAAGGAAGUUUGCUUUGCUUGUGUUGAUGCUGAGGAGUUCCGUUUGGCUCAGAUCUGUGGCCUUAACAUUAUUAUUCAGGUGGAUGAUUUGGAAGAGGUCAGUGAAUAUUACCAAAACAGAGGAUACUUCAAUGAACUAAUCUCUCUUAUGGAGAGUGGUUUAGGGUUAGAACGUGCGCACAUGGGCAUUUUCACAGAGUUGGGAGUAUUGUAUGCAAGAUAUCGUCCUGAGAAGCUUAUGGAACAUAUUAAAUUGUUCUCGACCCGUCUCAAUAUUCCCAAGCUCAUACGAGCUUGUGAUGAACAGCAGCAUUGGAUGGAACUUACCUAUUUGUAUAUCCAAUACGAUGAAUUUGAUAAUGCUGCAACUACCAUAAUGAACCAUUCACCUGAGGCAUGGGAUCACAUGCAAUUUAA
rnacentral:misc_RNA from 1 species